CCUACGGGAGGCAGCAGUGGGGAAUCUUGCGCAAUGGGCGAAAGCCUGACGCAGCCAUGCCGCGUGAAUGAUGAAGGUCUUAGGAUUGUAAAAUUCUUUCACCGGGGACGAUAAUGACGGUACCCGGAGAAGAAGCCCCGGCUAACUUCGUGCCAGCAGCCGCGGUAAUACGAAGGGGGCUAGCGUUGCUCGGAAUUACUGGGCGUAAAGGGAGCGUAGGCGGAUAGUUUAGUCAGAGGUGAAAGCCCAGGGCUCAACCUUGGAAUUGCCUUUGAUACUGGCUAUCUUGAGUAUGGGAGAGGUAUGCGGAACUCCGAGUGUAGAGGUGAAAUUCGUAGAUAUUCGGAAGAACACCAGUGGCGAAGGCGGCAUACUGGCCCAUUACUGACGCUGAGGCUCGAAAGCGUGGGGAGCAAACAGGAUUAGAUACCCUGGUAGUCCACGCUGUAAACGAUGAGUGCUAGUUGUCGGCGAUGCAUGCAUGUCGGUGGACGCAGACGUAACGACAUUAAGACGACCGUCCGCCGUCGGGGAGGUACGGUCGGCGAAGUAAGUUAAAACUUAAAUUAAAGUAAGUUAAGUUAGUACGNGNGAGAGCGACGACGACGACGAGGAGGAGGAG
rnacentral:rRNA from 1 species